ACUUGACCUCAAAUCANGUAGGACUACCCGCUGAACUUAA
rnacentral:rRNA from 1 species